GAUCCUGGCUCAGGAUGAACGCUAGCUACAGGCUUAACACAUGCAAGUCGAGGGGCAGCAUGUUGGUUGCUUGCGACCGAUGAUGGCGACCGGCGCACGGGUGAGUAACGCGUAUCCAACCUACCCUUGUCCAUCGGAUAACCCGUCGAAAGGCGGCCUAACACGAUAUGCGGUUCACCGCAGGCAUCUAACGUGAACGAAAUGUGAAGGAGAAGGAUGGGGAUGCGUCUGAUUGG
rnacentral:rRNA from 1 species